rnacentral:rRNA from 1 species
GACGAACGCUGGCGGCGUGCUUAACACAUGCAAGUCGAACGGUGAAGCGCCUUCCUUUUUGGUGGGUGUGGAUGUGUGGCGAACGGGUGAGUAACACGUGAGUAACCUGCCCCCUUCUUCUGGAUAACCGCAUGAAAGUGUGGCUAAUACGGGAUAUUCUGGGUCUGUCGCAUGAUGGGUCUGGGAAAGAUAUUGUUUCGGUGGGGGAUGGGCUCGCGGCCUAUCAGCUUGUUGGUGGGGUGAUGGCCUACCAAGGCGGUGACGGGUAGCCGGCCUGAGAGGGGGGACGGUCACACGGGGACUGAGACACGGCCCAGACUCCUACGGGAGGCAGCAGUGGGGAAUAUUGCACAAUGGCGCAAGCCUGAUGCAGCGACGCCGCGUGAGGGAUGGAGGCCUUCGGGUUGUGAACCUCUUUCGCCAGUGAAGCAGGCCUGCCUCGUUUGUGGGUGGGUUGACGGUAGCUGGAGAAGAAGCGCCGGCUAACUACGUG